rnacentral:rRNA from 1 species
GACGUAGGUGGCGAGCGUUAUCCGGAUUUACUGGGCGUAAAGCGCGUGCAGGUGGUUCGAUAAGUCGGGCGUGAAAUCUCCUGGCUCAACUGGGAGAGGCCGUCCGAUACUAUCGGACUUGAGGGCAGUAGAGGGAGGUGGAAUUCCGGGUGUAGUGGUGAAAUGCGUAGAUAUCCGGAGGAACACCGGUGGCGAAGGCGGCCUCCUGGACUGCCCCUGACACUCAGACGCGAAAGCUAGGGGAGCGAACGGGAUUAGAAACCCCAGUAGUCC